UAACUCCUGACCUCAAGUGAUCCGCCCACCUCGGCCUCCCAAAGUGCUGGGAUUACAGGCAUGAGCCACCGCUCCGGGCCCUUGCACAUAUUUUUUUAUGAACACACAGGCAGCAGCACUUUGAUUACAGUAACUUACAUGGAAGUUAUUUUAAAAUGGCUUUCCCCUUCUCUUUUUCAUGUAGGCUGCAUUUUUCAUCUGCAGCACGCUUUCUCUCAAGAAUCUCAAGCACACACAAGAAACCAGAGAGUAAAAUCACUGAGGCGUGAACACAUCCAGAGACCAAGGGCGUCACUGGCAGAAAAGCUUUUAGGCGGAUCCACGGCCCGAGAGCCACCCUGCCCAGAGACGCGGUUUCCUAGGAGCAGUUCACACGCGGCUCUGCAGCACCCACAAGCGGGGCCAGGGGCUGGUUUUCAUAGUUCACAGUCUGCAGGGAUCUUAACAAAAACAUGGCCGUGGUAAAAGUGCCUAGACCAGGCUUUCGUCACAACUCAGUGAGUAGGAAGACUAGUUAGGCUGAUGAAAAGCUCUGAUGAUGUGUGAUUAAAAGUAGGAAAACGUGGUUGCCAAAUAAAAUAUUUUACUAUAUAGUCAGGGGGAGAGAUGGGGAUAAAAAAAUGUGGAAACCAUUUAUUUUAAAAUUUUGACUGUUCCUGCAGUGUUUAAAAUAUAGGAGAUAUAUUCUGAUUAUCUUUAGAAAGAAACUGCUCUCAAUCUAUUUGUAUGUCUUCCCUCUGGUUUUAAAAUAUUAAACAAUCAUCUAACUCAAUAUUUAAUUUUACCUCUAGUCAUGUUACUAGGUUAGGAUAAUAAAAAGGACUGUGAACUUCACAUCUGCCAUCUAUAAUAGAUUCUUAUUGUAGCAAUCUUGCACCAAGGGGAUUUCUUUAUUAACUCUGCCAAAUUUUCCAAAAUUACCAAAUGGAGAAAAGAGCUGGUCCCAUCUGUCACCAGGCACAACCAGGAAGUGUCAGAAGACUUUCAGAAGCACAUGCAGUUGCAGCUCCAGUGUUUCAACAGUUGCCCAUUUCCAAGGCCUCCUAAAUACGUAUGAGGCCUGUGGACAACUUUCUCCUCAGCUGUUACAGAACCUGGACAACUUGUAGUGAAGACCUUCCACACCAGUAACAUAUUUUGGUGAGCCAGUCGGGAGCACGAAUGGUUAGAAAGAUGAACUUGGAACCUCAGACGAGAAUAUGAGAAACAUAAACAGAGACAUAUGACAACCUAAAAAAUGGAGUACAAUACCAAUAAGAAUAACGAUUA
rnacentral:lncRNA from 1 species